UGAUGAGGGGCUAUUGGGUUGUUUCCGGAGAAAAGUCCACUCUUCCCUUGGGUUGUGGGCUGGAGGUGAGAGAGGAGAGGA
rnacentral:ribozyme from 11 species